rnacentral:tRNA from 1 species
GCGCCCGUAGCUCAGCCGGAUAGAGCAUCGCUUUUCUAAAGCGGCGGUCCCAGGUUCGAUUCCUGGCGGGCGCGCCA